CCUACGGGUGGCUGCAGUGAGGAAUAUUGGUCAAUGGACGCAAGUCUGAACCAGCCAUGUAGCGUGAAGGAAGACUGCCCUAUGGGUUGUAAACUGCUUUUAUAUGAGAAUAAAAUGUUCCACGUGUGGGGUGUUGUAUGUACCGUAUGAAUAAGGAUCGGCUAACUCCGUGCCAGCAGCCGCGGUAAUACGGAGGAUCCGAGCGUUAUCCGGAUUUAUUGGGUUUAAAGGGAGCGUAGGUGGAUUGUUAAGUCAGUGGUGAAAGUUUGCGGCUCAACCGCAAAAUUGCAGUUGAAACUGGCAGUCUUGAGUACAGUAGAGGUGGGCGGAAUUUGUGGUGUAGCGGUGAAAUGCUUAGAUAUCACGAAGAACUCCGAUUGCGAAGGCAGUUCACUGAACUGCAACUGACACUGAGGCUCGAAAGUGUGGGUAGCAAACAGGAUUAGAUACCCCAGUAGUC
rnacentral:rRNA from 1 species